GUGCUCACUUUGGCAGCACAUAUACCAAAAUUGGAGCUAUACAGAGAAGAUGGGCACAGCCCCUGGGCAAGGAUGACAUAUAAAUUAAAAAAAUAAAAAGUAAAAAA
rfam:Otolemur garnettii contig047494, whole genome shotgun sequence.